UUUUUUUUUUUCCUGGAAUAACAGUUGACAGUAAUGUUAUGGGUCAUCAUAACAUGUGACGUCUCUCUGUCCAGUCUCUUGUUACUCUGCCAUUUCAUAAAGCUGAUGCUUCCUGUUGAAUUGGAUUAUAUCUGCACUAAGUCACAGUGUUAUUUUUUGUAUUUUUCUUCUUUUUUUUGAAAAGGGAAUUUAAUGAACCACACAGAUAUCAUCUUUAAUCAGCAGAACAGUGAUGAAUAUUAAUAGGAUUUAGUCCUAGAUUUCUCUGUAUCUAAACUCAUUUGAGCUCAUAAGAAUAUAUGGAUAAUCUGUCUUGAAAAAGUUUCUUUCUGGUCUCAUUGCCAAGGAUUAAAACAGAAUAGUAUUAAAGAAAUAUUAUUUCUUUCUCUGUCCAAGUUUUUAACAUUUUUCUUUUGGGCUAUGCUAUUAGAAAAAAAUAUUUUUUGGAGGAGGGGACCUGUAUUUUUGUUAUUAAAAUAAGUGACAAUAUUCAUUAAGGGGAGGAAUUUUUUUUUCUUUUCUUUUUUCUGGUAUGAUUUUGUUUGGAAUUUUUCCCUGAAAUAAAGAGAGUGAUUGAAAUAUAGCCCUUGCAAUCCAAGAGAUACCAACCACUGUGUUUGGUGUAGCUAGUAAUGCUCUUGCUUUAGGCUUCAUUAUUAGUUAUUCUAAUGAAUUACCACACCUAUGAAGGAUUAAGCUUUUGGGUAUGGUAUUGAAUAACUUGUCCAUGAUAAAUGCAGACAAAUAGUCUUCGUGCUAAUUUGAUUUAGUUUUUUGGUAUUAUCCCAUUUAAGUUCUCUCAUUUUUAUCCUUGCCAAUCUAGCGCAUAUCACGUACUAAUACAUCACUAGGUAUGAAAACAGAUUUAGGGUCUUGGAGGGCCCACAGCUUGGCUCAAGGACUGAGAUCAAUAACCAGCAAUUCAGCACUGACUGUUACCCUAGCCCAGUCCUAACCUUUCUUCCCUCUCUUCUUGUCUUUGUGGUGAACCACUUAAAUGAUGUGCUCCAAGCCAUGUCCUAACUAAAUAGUAAGUGUAACAGAAAUGAUGACAACAGUCUUUUCACACAUACACACACCCCUCUCCAAAACUGGGAAUCAAAAGGAUGACUCUGCUGCAGCUUCCCUUACUGCAUAUCAUUUCGCAUGCCUAAUAAAUACUAAUUAUUAUACUGGGAUAUUCCAAUAAAAAAUGAAGAACUGAAUUCAGACAUAUUUUCUAGCCAUUAUAAGGUGGCUCUGCAAACAGAAUUUUAGCAAUUGUAUUUCACAGCUAAAGUGACUACAGCAUUCAGACUGGGAGAUAGCUUCUAUAUAACACAAGAAACCCCUUCCAAAUCAUGACUCGUUGAGGGCACCUGGCUGUCUCCUAGGGAAGGCACUCCAGAGUGAACCAGUUCUCUAUGGGCAGCUUUACCAGAACGCCAAACAUGUAAAUGGUUAUUUCUUCAUUGAGGAUAGACAGAGAUCUUGCUGGAAUCGGAUGCAAGCAAAAUGACACAUGGAUGGUAAAAGAACUGGGAGUGGGGAGUGUCUAGUUCCAGAGAUAGCUAGCUGUUUUUGAGUGUGCCAUUUUAACCAGACAUGGACUUGAGGUGUUGGUGGAGAUCAGUUUUCUCCAUUAUUCUCCCCAUUGCCGAAAACUGUUUAUUGGUCAUGCUUAUGCAAAUAAAUGACCCUUUAUCGGGUAGUAUUUUCAAUAUAGUAUAAUUUAUAUUCUACUUUUUUGGUGAUUGAAUUAGCAUUGCAUGGUAAUUUGUACCUGUCUUGUGUCUUUUACUUGGUGAAUAUCUGAAGGGAGUGGGAAAUAAACCCCUUGCUGUUUCAGUAAGGGCAUAAUCGCCAGUCACUAGUUAAAUCCAAAUAUAUUGUUAUAAAAAACUGAUUUGUCCUCUCUUGCCUUAUAGUCUUACUAUGAGAAUUUUUUGAUAUCAAGUAUUAUAUUUGUGUUUACCUAAUAUCUCUGAAGAAAGUGUGGUAUUUGUAACUCAACUGUGUGAAUGUUUAUUGUUUAUUAUUUCAGAAAAUAAUUUUUUGGGGGCAGUGUAUUUAAUUUUUUUUGGUUUGGAUACUUUGUCCUAAGAGAGCAAUUACUUGUAUGUCCUCUUUUUACUGUUAUACAAUAAACUUGUCAUAAAAGCUGACUCUGUA
rnacentral:lncRNA from 1 species